UAGAGUUUGAUCCUGGCUCAGAUUGAACGCUGGCGGCAGGCUUAACACAUGCAAGUCGAGCGGUAACAUUUCUAGCUUGCUAGAAGAUGACGAGCGGCGGACGGGUGAGUAAUACUUAGGAAUCUACCUAGUAGUGGGGGAUAGCUCGGGGAAACUCGAAUUAAUACCGCAUACGACCUACGGGAGAAAGGGGGCAACUUGUUGCUCUCGCUAUUAGAUGAGCCUAAGUCGGAUUAGCUAGAUGGUGGGGUAAAGGCCUACCAUGGCGACGAUCUGUAGCUGGUCUGAGAGGAUGAUCAGCCACACCGGAACUGAGACACGGUCCGGACUCCUACGGGAGGCAGCAGUGGGGAAUAUUGGACAAUGGGGGCAACCCUGAUCCAGCCAUGCCGCGUGUGUGAAGAAGGCCUUUUGGUUGUAAAGCACUUUAAGCAGUGAAGAAGACUCUAGGGUUAAUACCCCUAGACGAUGACAUUAGCUGCAGAAUAAGCACCGGCUAACUCUGUGCCAGCAGCCGCGGUAAUACAGAGGGUGCAAGCGUUAAUCGGAAUUACUGGGCGUAAAGCGAGCGUAGGUGGCUUGAUAAGUCAGAUGUGAAAGCCCCGGGCUUAACCUGGGAACGGCAUCUGAUACUGUUGAGCUAGAGUAGGUGAGAGGAAGGUAGAAUUCCAGGUGUAGCGGUGAAAUGCAUAGAUAUGUCACAGAACACCGAUUGCGAAGGCAGCUUACUAUGGUCUUAUUGACGCUGAGGCACGAAAGCGUGGGGAUCAAACAGGAUUAGAUACCCUGGUAGUCCACGCCCUAAACGAUGAACACUCGCUGUUGGCGAUACACAGUCAGCGGCUAAGCGAAAGCGUUAAGUGUUCCACCUGGGGGAGUACGCCCGCAAGGGUGAAACUCAAAGGAAUUGACGGGGGCCCGCACAAGCGGAGGAGCAUGUGGUUUAAUUCGAUGAUACGCGAGGAACCUUACCCGGGCUUGAAAGUUAGUGAAGCUUCCAGAGAUGGGAGCGUCCGCAAGGACACGAAACUAGGUGCUGCAUGGCUGUCGUCAGCUCGUGCCGUGAGGUGUUGGGUUAAGUCCCGCAACGAGCGCAACCCCUAUGUCUAGUUGCCAGCACGUAACGGUGGGGACUCUAGACAGACUGCCUGUGCAAACAGAGGGGAAGGCGGGGACGACGUCAAGUCAUCAUGGCCCUUACGUCCGGGGCUACACACGUGCUACAAUGGACGGUACAGAGGGCAGCUAUACAGCAAUGUAAUGCCAAUCUCAAAAAGCCGUUCACAGUUCGGAUCGGGGUCUGCAACUCGACCCCGUGAAGUUGGAUUCGCUAGUAAUCGCAUAUCAGCAAUGAUGCGGUGAAUACGUUCCCGGGCCUUGUACACACCGCCCGUCAAGCCAUGGAAGCUGGGGGUACCUAAAGUACGUAGCCGCAAGGAGCGUCCUAGGGUAAAACCGGUAACUGGGGCUAAGUCGUAACAAGGUAACC
rnacentral:rRNA from 1 species